rnacentral:lncRNA from 1 species
CCUUCUAGUCUAAACUCUGAUCCCGGCCUCCACUUCCAAGGGAAAGCAGCAUAACCCAGAACGGAACUUUCUUCCUUGUGAGACCGCCUCCGUCUUCUAGUCUGGUCUUUCCUAUUGGUGUUGUUCCAUCGGGGAUUCAGUGUUCCAUGCAUCGAUACCAGUUCGUCCAUCACCCAUGAGAUAGGGAUGGAGGCCAUAGAGAAACUUUUUUUUAUUCCUUUGUUUCGAACAUCCCAUCGGUCGUAGCCAGGUCAUUCCAAUUCCAGUCGGUGUAGAAUCAAUCAAUGAAGGAAGGGAAGGAUGGAAUGCUUUCUGUCAAGAAGAAAAAAAUUGACUGUGAAGUGAAUCCUGCAUGCCAAUGAAAGUGAAAGGUACUUUCCAACAAAAACGGGAAAAGCAUAACUCAUAUCCCGGGCAGCUAAGAUCCAUAGGAUUGGAAGGCCCAUCUGAGUUCUACAUUCUGAGAUAGCUUAUCUGUAAACUGUUACUAGUAAACAGAUUUCUUACCUGAAAUGAAAGACCGGGAGAAGAUUGAAAGAGAUCUUUUACACCAAAGUUGAUUGGAUCCUUCUUCCAUUCUUGAUUUGUCGAUAAUGCC